rnacentral:rRNA from 1 species
GACGAACGCUGGCGGCGUGCUUAACACAUGCAAGUCGAACGGAAAGUCCCUGCUUUUGUGGGGUGCUCGAGUGGCGAACGGGUGAGUAACACGUGAGUAACCUGCCCUUGACGUUGGGAUAACUUCAGGAAACUUGUGCUAAUACCGGAUAGGAGCUCCUGCUGCUUGGUGGGGGUGGGAAAGUUUCGGCGGUUGGGGAUGGACUCGCGGCUUAUCAGCUUGUUGGUGGGGUAGUGGCUUACCAAGGCUUUGACGGGUAGCCGGCCUGAGAGGGUGACCGGCCACAUUGGGACUGAGAUACGGCCCAGACUCCUACGGGAGGCAGCAGUGGGGAAUAUUGCACAAUGGGCGGAAGCCUGAUGCAGAAACGCCGCGUGCGGGAUGACGGCCUUCGGGUUGUAAACCGCUUUCGCCUGUGACGAAGCGUGAGUGACGGUAAUGGGUAAAGAAGCACCGGCUAACUACGUG